GUCGUGAGAUGUUGGGUUAAGUCCCGCAACGAGCGCAACCCUUAUCAUUAGUUGCUACAUUUAGUUGGGCACUCUAAUGAGACUGCCGGUGACAAACCGGUGGAAGGUGGGGAUGACGUCAAGUCCUCAUGGCCCUUAUGGGUAGGGCCUCACACGUAAUACAAUGGCCGGUACAGAGGGCUGCCAACCCGCGAGGGGGAGCUAAUCUCAGAAAGCCGGUCGUAGUCCGGAUUGUUCUCUGCAACUCGAGAGCAUGAAGUUGGAAUCGCUAGUAAUCGCGGAUCAGCAUGUCGCGGUGAAUACGUUCCCGGGUCUUGUACACACCGCCCGUCACACCAUGGGAGUGGGUUCCACCAGAAGUAGGUAGCCUAACCGCAAGGAGGGCGCUUACCACGGUGAGAUUCAUGACUGGGGUGAAGUCGUAACAAGGUAGCCGUAGGGGAACCUGCGGCUGGAUCACCUCCUUUCUAGAGUACGUUCCAGGGCCAAGUGCUCACUCUUAUCGGUUGUAGCAAACGGGUUUCGAAUUUUCGAGUUUCGAGCUAAUCCAGAAACCUGAAAAUCCGUGGACUCGGAACGUGACGCCGGGUCUGUAGCUCAGCUGGUUAGAGCACACGCUUGAUAAGCGUGGGGUCGAUGGUUCAAAUCCAUCCAGACCCACCACUUAAUCGGGGGUGUAGCUCAGUUGGGAGAGCGCAUGCUUUGCAAGCAUGAGGUCAUCGGUUCGAUCCCGUUCACCUCCACCAAUUUAUUGCGAUAUAAAAAUCGCGCGCUACGUUCCCGUGUUGAGAAUGCAGAGUUAAGCGUCACACGCUUAACUCUGGUUUUUUAACCAGUAGGCUGAAUUGCUCUUUAACAAAACGGAAGAAGUAAAGCGUUUCGGUUCUGAAGUCUGGAACUGAAACACUGGGUUUGAUUGUAUCGACGCAUUCGACACACAAAAGGGUCGAAUGCGUCAUAAGCGCAUUAAAUGCCUUGUAACCCGAGCUUCGAAAUUACAUUCGAGGAUUCAAGGUUAUAGGGUCAAGCGAACAAGUGCAUGUGGUGGAUGCCUUGGCGAUCACAGGCGAUGAAGGACGUAGUAGCUUGCGUUAAGCUGCGGGGAGCUGGCAAACAAGCUUUGAUCCGCAGAUGU
rnacentral:sRNA from 1 species